CAGGAAUUUCUCCUGGUUCUUGGUAGCCCAACUGCAGCUUUGUGCGGCCUGGCUGUUCUCCUGUACCUCUGAGUGGCAGUGGUGGUCCUGCAGCCCAUGGCCCUGUCCUCGGGCCCAGCUGAGGGAGCUGUGAAACUGAAUACAGAUGAACAUAAACCAUCCUCCCCCAGCUCCACACAGCUCAACAAGCAGGAGUUCUGAACUUUGGGUGACCAACUUUGUCCUUUGUGGGCUUGCUGCAAUGCAGAAACAUCCAGUCCCAGUCGUGCCUGAGCCAAACCCACAUUCAGCAGAGCAGCAGGAGAUGGACCUUGGUGUGGAUAAACAGACUUGAAAUGAGCACACAUGCACCUGGCUCUGUCAAGGACUAAAAAUGCCACCUGCCCACACAAUCCAUGGAUAAGAUUCACUGAACUUUGAUGGAGAUCAGGAAGGAUGAUGAACUGGUGAUCUUCAGUUCUGAAAGAAAUAGGCAAGUUUAGUAUUUUUUCUUCUCUUUUAUAUUAAUGUGCUCAUCCCCCCUAAUCCUAGACAUGGUACCUUUAUCACUUCCUUGUAAUUAAGUCAGAAUUUAGAACUGUGGUGCUCGCCUUGCCAGCUGUUUACAAAUCCCCCUACAUCACUGAGCUGAUUUGCAAUAACUCUUCUAACUCAGCUCUUGCCCUUUCACGAGGAGAGGUUUCAAC
rnacentral:lncRNA from 1 species